UUCAACAGUGCGGCAGGCAGCAUUCUCCAUUAAACUAAGGACUUGCAGCGAGGCACCUCCCUGCAUUUGCAGGGAGCAUUGAGCAGCCGCUGGCUCAGAAUACUGGAGCCAGCUUACAUAAAGCACCCACCACAGAUCCCUGCCUCACUCUUGUCCCGGCUGCCUGGGGAGCCCGGCGUCUGUCUCCAUCCAGACACAGGCGAGCGGGGGAUGCUGGCCAACAGGCACAAUGCGCAUGUGCACGGACAAUGCAGGGAGACAACGAAUGCCAAAGAGAGGGAUGUGACCGCAUUACCACCCCUGCACAUAUCGAAUUCUUAAAGGGCCGGGAGCAGCAUUAAUACAUUAGGGAAAAGGGAGGAACUGUCUCUCUCUCCACUGCAGGAUGAACUGUGUCAUCAGUCUCCGCCUCCCUGAUGCUCGGAUGCGCACCCAGUGUAAUGUAUACACAGGAGACAAGUACGCCAGAGAAGCACCACAGACAGGCCACAGCCAACUGAUGAAGAUGGUGGGAAUGCAGGUUCUUCUUCUGCAAGCCGCCCUCCUCUAAGGCGGCCAUCACAGGGCUCUGUGAGUUUGCCUAGGAGGCCCAGUAAGACACGUCGUGUGGAGUCUGAGUCUGCGGCUCCAUCUUCACCACCCAGGCGGCGCAUCUCCGCAGUGUUGCCCCAGCCACCUCUGGAAAUUUUGGCAAGUCCUCAAAGUGAUGAGCCACGAUCACCUCAGCUGUCUGAACCAACCAUCAUGGGCGAGGACGACCAGCAGGAACCUGACCAACAGGCUACCUUUACACUGCACCUGCAGCCCGUUGAUCCUACCCAGCCAACCCAGCAGCAGGAUAUGCCCCAAGCCUCCGUAGCCCCCAAUUGAUCCCAACUCCACCCCAGCAACAAAUGUCCGCAGACUUUUGGAGCAGUUGGGCCACACAACAGGUCCAAAACACUGCCUACCUGAACACACACACACAACACCUUGCCAGUCUGCCGCAUCAUCUUCCUCGCAUUAGUAGGAACUCGGGCAGACUGAUUGUUCAGGUAGGCAGAAUAGCUACUUCAAAGGAGCAAAUCAGGGCGGACAACAUGCAAAUGCUUGCAAAUUUAACUCGAGUAAUCGAUGAGCAACAGCGGCAGCAACAAGCCCUAAUACAAGUCAUACAGCACAACCAAGUAGUGACUGAAACUUUGUCCAGAAUUGUUGCCAGCCACACUGCCACAAAUAAUCAGCUGAAUGCCAGUAUUCACAACCUUAGCCAAAGCAUUACUGUGCUGGCAGCACAACAAGUCAGCUCCAGCUCCGGAACGACUACCCCUAGCCAGACCCCAGUUACCUCCCCUGUUCGACGCUCAAGCAGAACACGGGCCAGCGACCCUGGACAAACCUCUGCACCAAGCACACACACCAAAAAAAAAUUAGUAAGACAUGAAAUUUGUGUAACACAAUAAAUGUUUUGCUAUUGUAUUCCCAAAAAAA